GCCAAAGAUUGGAAGUCCGCACCCCCCGCCCCCCGCCCCACCAGAACUGCUUGAAGAGAACGGCUUGGAGUUAGAAAGACGCACUGUGCCCAUGGCAGUUCACUGUUACUGUAACCGAUUGUAUGAUUUUGUGAAAUAUUUCUAUAAAUAUUUAAAAGGUGUACACAUAUGUAAUAUACGAAGGAAUGGAUGUAAAGUAGUGUGGUCUGGGGUUUCUCCACUCCUGCCCCAGCGUGGGCAGUGGGGAGGCCACAGCGAGGCCCCUCCCUGUUUGUACAUUGGUCUCUGUGCCACAACCAAGCUUAACUUAGUCUUAAAUUUCAGCAUAUGUUGCUGCUGCUUAAAUAUUGUAUAAUUUACCUGUAUAAUUCUAUGCAAAUAUUGCUUAUGUAAUAGGAUUAUUUUGUAAAGGAUUCUGUUUAAAAUAUUUUAAAUUUGCAUAUCACAACCCUGUGGUAGUAUGAAAUGUUACUGUUAACUUUCAAACACGCUAUGCGUGAUAAUUUUGUUGUUGAUGAGCAGAUAUGAAGAAAGCACGGUAACCCGAUGGCUUCUCCAGGUGUAGUGGGAUGCGGUCCUCCUGUUUGGCUGUGUGAACACGUGUGAUUUCCCAGUGUACUGUACUGUGAUUUUUUUUCUUCUUUCGUUUCUUUUCACUGUCUGUAACCCUUCGUGGGCUCUGCCCUAGUCAGGCUGGAAGUCAGGAUAUCUUGAUUGCCUAGUGCUGGCAGAAGGCAGGCCUAAACAUUCCCUUGUCCUUUGCCAGACCCACUUCAAGUUCAGAGCGGCUCUCAAGAUCGUUGGCUGCCAUCCAGACACCCCAAUUCCUGCCUCAGAGAGAUAAGUUCCUUUGCAUGGUCAUUGUGGUGGACGUGGGCCCCUCAGGCGGUGGGGCUGACAUCUGUUCAUCUUCUUUGGUAUGGAAGAGGUAGAGGACAUGCCUGGCGGUGAGCCUCAGCCGGGCCGGGAGUGGGCGCCCUAAAGGACGCAGGCUUCAGCAUACCUCUCAUGACCAGCACUCACACACACGCACGCACCUCCCAGCGUUCACUCCAACAAAAAAUUGCAGAGUGAAUUGGAAAUCUGGAGACAGUGAGCCUGGUACAGAUAGAAAACCCUAUUAGUUCCGGGCCCACAGUAAACCCAGGGGUGAUGUUGAGUCCCUGCAAUAUGGAAACUCCCUCUCUUCCUAAAUGGCACAGUUGGUUGAGGCUUUGUGGAUCUGUUUGCAUCUUCUUUAAAACAAUAGUGAGCGUCCCAAAUGUGAUAUAGAGCCGGAAGUUAUGUAGGAUACAAGCUUCAGAAGGAUGCUUCUCAGUGUUUUAAUAUUAACGUUAUGGGGGCACACUUCCCAAAUACACUGUCUCCGUCCUCAUCAUUAUUAGUGUUCUUUCCAUGUGACAGUUACUGAAGAUCAGGAAGAUGCUAAUCGCGCACUCCACUGAAGAAGGCACAUGGAGGCAGAUCUCUCGACCAGGCGUUAUUUUUAAAGAUUUCCUUCUUUAUCGAUUCUGUUGUCUUGCUCUGAGGUUUGGUCUUCCUCAGCUUUUAGCCAGAGAUGAGCAAACAUCGGGGACGCACUUGGUACCCAGACUAAACUACUGUAGGAGUGCUCAAAUGGCAGCUCCCAUUAUGGCCUCCUGUUUUACAUGGAAAAUCUUAAUCGAAGGCAGUGGGGCCCCCGGUAGUACCCAGCAGUGUAGUGACCUCAGACCCUAAAACUCGCCACAAAACUGUAAGAUACUAAUUGGAAGCCACCUGUGGCCACCAGCUGUGUGUGUUAAUAUGCCUGCUACUGUCUGGUGCCUGUGUCCGCCACACUGUCUAGCUCACGCCCAGCUCUGCUCAGAACACUCACGUCCCGCGUUCAGGAGAUGAUGCGAACUUCUGAGGUCUGCUUCCCUCUGGCUCACGGCGCGCCCUUGCUUGUUGCCGGAGCCCAGCCUGUGUGGUGCAGGACAGCUUGCACGGCCCCUGUUUUCUGCACAGUGUAGAACUUUCUCAAUAGUCACAUUGGCAAAGGGAGAACCCCAGGGGCUGGCAGGCAACUAGAAUAUCUCUCUCUUUCUUUUUUAAAUAGUUUUAUUUUGUCUGUCUUAUUUGUUUAUUUGGAUGUUUUAAUUUUUUAAAAAAAUCUUCGCUGAUAUUUAUAAUUUUGUAUCAUAAGAAUGUUUUCCUACAGUAUUUGUCAUGCCAGUUUAUAACAAAAAAAUGCAGGGAUUUUAUUUCUAUUGGAAACACUAUUACAGCUAUGUUUUACUUUUGAACAGAAGUUUUAUUUGUAUAGAGUGCUUACUAAUGUUAAAUAGUUCAGAGUAUAUAACGUUUUCAUUAAGGACUCGUGGUAGGUUUUAGUGUAAGUUUAAAGGAAAUAAAUAUUCAAACUGGGUCUCAUUGUCUGCCAAUUUUGGCAGGAAUGGGUUUGUGUCAUUUCAAUUACAAAGAUAAAAGUAUGCCAUAUAAUUUAUUUAUAUGAAAAUUUAUUUUUGUAGUGUACAUAGUAGUCAUCAAGUCUUUUGACAGAAGUAUAUUUUUAAAGAAUUUAUAUGUGGUGAAUCCAUAAUGUCUGGAACUUCGCUGAGACAUGAGUGGGGCACACUUUUCAUUGUAAAGUACAACAAGGAAAGAAAAUGUCUAACAGUGUUAAGAGAGUGAGGUUGAGUGAAUAUUCCUGCAAUUGUGAAAUGUGUAUUAGUUACCAUUUGUGACCUAGUGUGGUUCUCAUUUUAAACUUCAGAAGGCAAAAAUGUACAAACUCUCUAAAUAUUAAUGUUCAAACACUGAUAGAAAUUCUAACAUAAAUAAAAAAUAAUAUAACUUGUUGGUUA
rnacentral:lncRNA from 1 species